GGGAGCUCGUGGAGGCAAAGAGGUCCCGGUUCGGCCAGGUUACCCCGUGAGGGACCUCCUCAAAUCCCUCCUGUCACCCGUGCACUCGAUGGACACCUGCCUCGGCCAAGCGAACACGCACGGAAGGGGGGAUCUUGCAGACCCGCUCCUUAUCCUGUUACGAGAGCCCGACCUGCAGUAAUGAGAACGAUCAUCGACCAGCCGAUAAAGCAACACGAAGGCUCAAGUUCUGGGAGCUGCCAUGUAGUCAGAUGUGCCAAACCUGCCAGGGGAACUUUGAUACCGUGAACCAUAACAGAAAAAGCCAGUGCUGCAGCUUUUUCUUUAUUAUGUACUAUUUGCAAAUAGGUUAAAACAGUGCAGAUCAUCGUGACCCUGAUAAUUUUGCCCUACAUGGCACUAAUUACUGCAGUGUUUCAUCAAUAACACAAAAGAAGUAGUGACCAGUAAACUCUUGCAAUUUUAUGCAGCUCUCUACAAGGGAUCCUAGUCUAAAUUCACAAGCUUAGUAUGCUGUCAAUGUUUUCCUAAUUGCGGUACUGAAACCCCAAGCACUAUAAGCAA